rnacentral:rRNA from 1 species
AAUGAACGCUGGCGGCGUGCGUAACACAUGCAAGUCGAACGAGAAAUUCCGGGCUUGCUCGGGAGAGUAAAGUGGCGAACGGGCGAGUAACGCGUGGGUAACCUGCCCCUGAAUCUGGAAUAACUUCGCGAAAGCGAGGCUAAUACCGGAUAUGGUCCCAGGGACUGUGGUCCUUGUGAUGAAAGAUGACCUCUUCACGAAAGUUGUCGUUCAGGGAGGGGCCCGCGGACCAUUAGCUAGUUGGGAGGGUAAUGGCCUACCAAGGCUAUGAUGGUUAUGUGGUCUGAAGGGAUGACCAGCAACACUGGAACAGAAACUCGUGCCAGACUCCUACGGUAGGCAGCAGUGAGGAAUUUUGCGCAAUAGGGGUAUCCCUGACGCAGCAACGCCGCGUGAGUGAAGAAGGCCUUCGGGUCGUAAAGCUCUGUCAAGUGGGAAAAAAGCUUCUUGGUGAACAGCCAGGAAGACUGAUGGUACCAUUGAAGGAAGCACCGGCUAACUCCGUGCCAGCCGCCGCCGUAA